rnacentral:rRNA from 2 species
GACCUCGGAUCAGGUAGGAAUACCCGCUGAACUUAAGCAUAUCAAUAAGC